rnacentral:rRNA from 1 species
UACGGAGGGAGCUAGCGUUGUUCGGAUAUACUGGGCGUAAAGCGCACGUAGGCGGCGCCGUAAGUCAGGGGUGAAAUCCCGGAGCUCAACUCCGGAACUGCCCUUGAAACUGCAGUGCUAGAAUCUUGGAGAGGCGAGUGGAAUUCCGAGUGUAGAGGUGAAAUUCGUAGAUAUUCGGAAGAACACCAGUGGCGAAGGCGACUCGCUGGACAAGUAUUGACGCUGAGGUGCGAAAGCGUGGGUAGCAAACAGG